AUUGAACGCUGGCGGCAUGCCUUACACAUGCAAGUCGAACGGCAGCACGGGAGCUUGCUCCUGGUGGCGAGUGGCGAACGGGUGAGUAAUACAUCGGAACGUACCCUGAAGUGGGGGAUAACGUAGCGAAAGUUACGCUAAUACCGCAUAUUCUGUGAGCAGGAAAGAGGGGGAUCGCAAGACCUCUUGCUUUAGGAGCGGCCGAUGUCGGAUUAGCUAGUUGGUGAGGUAAAGGCUCACCAAGGCGACGAUCCGUAGCGGGUCUGAGAGGAUGAUCCGCCACACUGGGACUGAGACACGGCCCAGACUCCUACGGGAGGCAGCAGUGGGGAAUUUUGGACAAUGGGCGCAAGCCUGAUCCAGCCAUGCCGCGUGAUUGAAGAAGGCC
rnacentral:rRNA from 1 species